UUCCAGAUCGUUUUUUUCUGAGAAAGAACAUAUCCGGAUAGUUUUUUUCUCACCGGCUGUCUUUUUGUCGGUUGGUUUCUUUCCCCGAAACCAUUAAGUUCAUACAGUGUCUACUGAGAUAGAAAUGGGUCUGAUUUAGAUCUCAUAAUCACCGGAAUUAUAAAGUGACGAAGGUUUUAUAUGUCGAUCCUCAUUAACAGAGUUCAUUCUCUUGGUUUCAAUAUUCGUCUAGUCUAAGAUAAGUGAUUUUGUUAUUUUUAUUUCCUUUUUAGAUGUAUUAAGGUCAGUUUGGUUUCCAAAAAAAAAAAUACUGGUAAAACUAUAAGUUUAAUAUGACCAUCUAUAGGAACAGUCUUAUAAUGUUCUAAUGGGUAUAAUGAAAGUAGAUUCAUAUGUCUCUGUUCAGGUUUUCGACCUGAAUAUAAAUGAUCGAGUAAUGUAGAAGAUUUGCCAGAGAAGAUAACUAGCUACUCAGUCUUUCUUAUAAAUAGAAUCUAAUCAUUCUACUUUAUAUUUCAAAAAACUUACUUUUAAAUAUUUGUUGUGUAGGUUAAAUUCGAAGACAACAUGUUGAUGAAAAGACAUCAAAUACGGGACUUGUUUCUACACACCACAAGUCCCUACACACCAAUUCAUACCAGAUAAAGAGAUAUGUUUCUUCAAUUCCUCUGCAAAUGCAUCCCUGCAAGUGAGCUCAGUGAUUUAUUUAGACUACAGAGACAAAACUUUGCAAAUCCUCUGCGAAGAUUUCAGAGACAACUCCGUUGCUAAUAGCCUAAUCCUAAUCUGAUGGGUGUUUUGUAUAUUUCGAUUCACAAGGUUGCAUUCUGUAGUGACAAUCCUCUCACCAAAAUAAAAGCUGGACUUGAUCCUCUCUGCAACAACAUUUGUGGUAAUGUCAGUUUGGCACCACCUGAUCCGUACUUCUUACCAAAGAGAAUCAGCUGCAAGAAUGAUGGCACCAGCUCCCUUGAAGAGUAACUUGGCUCCUUCAUUCUUGAGGAUCUGGCGAAGGUGUCCAUGGAACUCUUGUACUUGACAGCCUCACCAGACACCAGACAUCACCAUUCGUGCAUCAUGCAAGAACCGCACCAUUACCAUUAGUGAUGACCCAAGAGCGAAACUGUCAAAGAAAGUGUCCAGAAAUAACCAAAAGAGAACAAUAACAUGUCAAAACCAACCUGUUAUAAGCAAGAGAACACCCAGAUCAGAGAGAAAGACAACAAGAUGAACCUGCAAGUCUCCAGUGAGAAGAACAGGCUUCACAAAGUCAUAGAGUCCAAAGUACAGACCACGGUAGACAAUGAUAUCAACACAAGAGUAAAUCCACGGUAAAGACCAGCAAUAUAUACCAUCAGACUUGAGUGUCUUUCUGUAAACAUCGACAAGACCAUCAAACUGUCUACCACCACCUCCUUUCUUUCCAGCCUUGGCAUCAUUGGCAAGACGUACGGGUACGAGCGUAGUCAAGGGAAUACACAUACAGAAGAAUUUAACAGAAAGAGCGUUUGAGUGGAUGCAUUCAAAUAGUAAUCCAUCCCUGCACAGUCGAUACAUCAUGUUAGCACAACCUUCGAGAAUUUCCUGUUUAUGACGAGAAUGGAGACGAUGGAGAAUGUUUUGUUUGGAACCCAAUUUUUCCAAUUUUGGUUUAAAAAUCUCUUAAAAUCACCCAAUAUAUUCUUUUAAAAUCUCACGAAAUUACAAAUUAUUUUUC